rnacentral:misc_RNA from 1 species
GAUGAAGAACGCAGCGAAAUGCGAUACUUGGUGUGAAUUGCAGAAUCCCGUGAACCAUCGAGUCUUUGAACGCAAGUUGCGCCCGAAGCCACUAGGCCGAGGGCACGCCUGCCUGGGCGUCACACGUCGUUGCCCCCCCCCCAUCUACUCCUUCGGGAUUGCGGGGGGCGGAUGAUGGCCUCCCGUGCGCCUAGCCGCGCGGUUGGCAUAAAUACCAAGUCCUCGGCGACGCACGCCACGACAAUCGGUGGUUGCGAAACCUCGGUUGCCCGUCGUGUGCGUUCGUCGCGCAUCGAGGGUUCGAAAAAAUGCUCGGCUCCGGCUCGGCUUUCAACGCGACCCCAGGUCAGGCGGGGUUACCCGCUGAAUUUAAGCAUAUCAAUAAGCGGAGGA